rnacentral:lncRNA from 12 species
CUGGUGAAAGAAUAGGAAUCCAGAAAGAUAGAAAAAGCACUGGGAGAUGUAAGUGAAUGAUUUUAUAUUAACCAAGAAAAUGUACAAUUUUAACACAGACAGAAUGAUCUCCAGAGCAAAGAGCAUAGCUUCAGCUAGCUGUUUGAGGCAGCCCAUACCCUGAGCAGUGAGAGGACCCGCCAAGCUACUUCCCCAGGAACUACCCACAGCAUUUCAGCAUCAAGCUGCCAAAUCUUUCAACUGCAACUUUGAGCAUCUGUGCUUUUUAUCUCAAAUUAUUUUGUGCAUCCAUUAGCAAGAUGUGUCCUAAGGACAACUACAUAAUCCUGAUCACUCCUGCAAUUUUGACUUGUGGUAAAGGACAGGAGCUACCAGGCCAAC